rfam:Salmo salar isolate Sally breed double haploid chromosome ssa11, whole genome shotgun sequence.
UCCAUUCACUACUGUAAGUCGCUCUGGAUAAGAGCAUCUGCUAAAUGACUCAAA